GGCCAUCAAGGCACAUCCUUAGAUUCAUGUGUGCAUUCAAAUUGUACUUGCAUUAGGUCCAUCAAAAGAUCUACACUCAGAUUCGUUGUACAAUUGUAUUUGUCAUCGUUAAAGACUCAAGCACAGGUUGCAUUUAGAAUCACUAAGGCACAAUGCAUUUCGUCCCAGUUUAAAAAUAUGACAGACCUUCAAGGCACAUGCGUAGAUUCAUGUUUCCAUUCACAUUGUAAUAUAUUUUGGCAUAAUCAAGGCUUGAGCCAACCAUCCUCAUUCAACACAAUGAAUCAAAAACUGCAUUUAGGAUCAUAAAGGGCCGAACAUCCCAUCAGGAUUAUAAAACUGCAAUUGAAUUCAGGGUCAUCAAG
rnacentral:lncRNA from 1 species